CACUCCUGCUGGUCUUUGCAGGGUCAGAAGUACAUUGCAGGUGAGCACAGUCUCUGUGGCAGCUGGCAGCAAGGAGACGAGAUUGUUGUCUGCAAGGGUGUGGGGAGGUAGAGCUGACAUCCCUCAUCUUGGCCUCCUGGGAGGCUUUGUGGCAGCUGCUUCCCUGGAGCACUGGGAAGGACAGCAGUCGUGGCCCUGGCCCUGCCACUGUACCUACUGCAAGGGUGGUUGGAACUGCUAAAGGUCACUUUGGGCAGGCUUCUGUGCCACCAGCCCAGCGUGCACAAGGUGACAGAGAGAUCUGACCAGACAUCAAAGUGCUUGAUUAAAUAGAAGCUCUCCUGUUGCUUCCCAAGAUGGAUAUGGAGUAUGUGAUAAAUGGCCAAUAGCUUGCCUGACAUUGUCCAAAGGCUGUAAACACUAACUGAAUCCCCAUUCUCACCUGCUGCCGGUUACUGCUUCCUGCUCUCUCCUUGUCUUACUUUUUAAAGGUGUUUCUGCUGUCUUCAGGAGUUGCACAUAAUAAAACAGGAUGUCGUUUUGCAAACCAUUUUGGAACACCUUAAAUUUGAGCAUAUUACAGAGUCCUUUCACAAGAUCGGUAUUUGUGAAAAGAAAGCUUAUCAUCUGAAGACUUUGAUGCUAUAAUACGUUAUGUAACAAAUACCACAGUGUCAAAAUCUCCUUGUGCCUAUGAUGUGCUACUUAUUGCUCUCACCUGUAGCGCUCCAGUUCAUGAUGGCAGCAAAGGGGCAAUUUGACAAAAAGAUGUCUGAAGCGAAGGUGUGUCGCUGAAUUCCUCCAUGUAGAAGCAACUGCACUCAUUGAUGUUUAUUGAUGCUUGCUGAACGUUUAUGGAGACUUAACAGUGGAUGUGAGCACAGUGAGGAGGUGGGUGGUGCAUUUCAUCAGUGGUAACAGUGACAGUGGGUCACCUCCACUGCUACAGGUUGUUAUGAGUGCGUCAUGCAGGCUGUUGUUCAUCACUGGUGAAAAUGUAUAGUUUGUGGUGGUGACUGUGUUGAAAACUAGUCUUUUGUAGCUGAGAAUUUGCUCUAUCACCUACUGUUCUUGUGCUCUUUGUAUCUACUGUAGUUUCUGUGGAAAUGAAUUGGAGGCAUUGCUUUCAGAUCUACAUAGGUACAUCAUGAAAAUAAAUAGCUUGUUUAAAGAAUGAGUCUAUUCAUACUCUAGUGAGGGAGAAGUAACAGCCUGCACUUAUCUCUUAGUAAACACCACACAUGAGAUCCACAACAUAAGUCUCCCAUCCCAUGGAACUACUUGUUUAUGAAUGCUAUUUAGAGGCAUCUGUCUUUUAUGUGAUAAUCUUUUUUUUUAUUAGCAUAUACAACUUUAAUAUUUAGCAAACCCAUCUUGCAUAACAUUCUAUGAUUUACUGAAAUGAUAUGCAGACUGCAGAAUCGGCAGUGCUGAUAAAAGUGACUGCUCCCAUCUAAUGGUAAAUGGAAGAACAACAGGAAAAUAAUAAUAAUAAUAAAAAAUUCUGCUUUACAGCAGUAACUGUAGGCACAUUGAAAGUUAUAUUCCCAGAUCCAGAGGGUUCAAAAUAGAACCUAAAUAAGAUAGCAAGUAGGAGGAUAAGAGGAUGGUAAUAUUAACAAGUUAUUUUAAAUAUAUAUUUUUAACUUGCUUUUAAUGUUGUAACAGUAGAUGUUAAAAUAAAUAUUGUCUUUUUAUCCAGUUCUUAUUACAACUUGUGUGUGGAUGAAACUUUGAUCUUGUGGACGUGAGGAUAUGUAUGAUAUAUAUAUAUAUAUAUAUAUAUAUAUAUGUUAUAUGUAUGUAUAUACAUGAUAUAUAUGUAUGAUAUAUGUAUUCUAUUCAAAUGAUAGCACAUGACAGAUUAAACCUUUAGGUGGAAUAAGGAUAGAUAGAAACAUUUCUGAACAAAGUACUUCAUAGGAGAGAUGCAGAAGAGGAUGUAUGUAUGGCACAGUAUAAUUAGGUUUGGAAAUUAUUCAGUUAUCGUGGUGAUAUGAAAUUAGAGGCUUCAUGGAAUCAUUUAGGUGGGAAAAGACUCUUAAAAUCAUCAAAUCCAAGCAUUGCUAGAAUUGUAACAUGUUGGAUAUAUACAAGUUCAGUAACACACAUCAUGAUUAUAUAAUGAAUGUUAUUAAACAUCUACUCACAAAAUUAUUCCAUUAAAAUCAAUUAAAUAUUCUCAGUAGCUAUGUAUUUGUGUACUGGAGGAGCAAGACCUGCAGUAUAAGACAUCAUUAAAGGACAAUAUUCCUUUUCUGUAGCCAUUGCCAAUGUAACCACAGCUAUUGCUGUGUGACCUGAUGAGAAAGAAAC
ensembl:lncRNA